rnacentral:rRNA from 1 species
GGUUAAGCGACUAAGCGUACACGGUGGAUGCCCUGGCAGUCAGAGGCGAUGAAGGACGUGCUAAUCUGCGAUAAGCGUCGGUAAGGUGAUAUGAACCGUUAUAACCGGCGAUUUCCGAAUGGGGAAACCCAGUGUGAUUCGUCACACUAUCAUUAACUGAAUCCAUAGGUUAAUGAGGCGAACCGGGGGAACUGAAACAUCUAAGUACCCCGAGGAAAAGAAAUCAACCGAGAUUCCCCCAGUAGCGGCGAGCGAACGGGGAGCAGCCCAGAGCCUGAAUCAGUGUGUGUGUUAGUGGAAGCGUCUGGAAAGGCGCGCGAUACAGGGUGACAGCCCCGUACACAAAAAUGCACAUGCUGUGAGCUCGAUGAGUAGGGCGGGACACGUGGUAUCCUGUCUGAAUAUGGGGGGACCAUCCUCCAAGGCUAAAUACUCCUGACUGACCGAUAGUGAACCAGUACCGUGAGGGAAAGGCGAAAAGAACCCCGGCGAGGGGAGUGAAAAAGAACCUGAAACCGUGUACGUACAAGCAGUGGGAGCACGCUUAGGCGUGUGACUGCGUACCUUUUGUAUAAUGGGUCAGCGACUUAUAUUCUGUAGCAAGGUUAACCGAAUAGGGGAGCCGAAGGGAAACCGAGUCUUAACUGGGCGUUAAGUUGCAGGGUAUAGACCCGAAACCCGGUGAUCUAGCCAUGGGCAGGUUGAAGGUUGGGUAACACUAACUGGAGGACCGAACCGACUAAUGUUGAAAAAUUAGCGGAUGACUUGUGGCUGGGGGUGAAAGGCCAAUCAAACCGGGAGAUAGCUGGUUCUCCCCGAAAGCUAUUUAGGUAGCGCCUCGUGAAUUCAUCUCCGGGGGUAGAGCACUGUUUCGGCAAGGGGGUCAUCCCGACUUACCAACCCGAUGCAAACUGCGAAUACCGGAGAAUGUUAUCACGGGAGACACACGGCGGGUGCUAACGUCCGUCGUGAAGAGGGAAACAACCCAGACCGCCAGCUAAGGUCCCAAAGUCAUGGUUAAGUGGGAAACGAUGUGGGAAGGCCCAGACAGCCAGGAUGUUGGCUUAGAAGCAGCCAUCAUUUAAAGAAAGCGUAAUAGCUCACUGGUCGAGUCGGCCUGCGCGGAAGAUGUAACGGGGCUAAACCAUGCACCGAAGCUGCGGCAGCGACACUGUGUGUUGUUGGGUAGGGGAGCGUUCUGUAAGCCUGCGAAGGUGUGCUGUGAGGCAUGCUGGAGGUAUCAGAAGUGCGAAUGCUGACAUAAGUAACGAUAAAGCGGGUGAAAAGCCCGCUCGCCGGAAGACCAAGGGUUCCUGUCCAACGUUAAUCGGGGCAGGGUGAGUCGACCCCUAAGGCGAGGCCGAAAGGCGUAGUCGAUGGGAAACAGGUUAAUAUUCCUGUACUUGGUGUUACUGCGAAGGGGGGACGGAGAAGGCUAUGUUGGCCGGGCGACGGUUGUCCCGGUUUAAGCGUGUAGGCUGGUUUUCCAGGCAAAUCCGGAAAAUCAAGGCUGAGGCGUGAUGACGAGGCACUACGGUGCUGAAGCAACAAAUGCCCUGCUUCCAGGAAAAGCCUCUAAGCAUCAGGUAACAUCAAAUCGUACCCCAAACCGACACAGGUGGUCAGGUAGAGAAUACCAAGGCGCUUGAGAGAACUCGGGUGAAGGAACUAGGCAAAAUGGUGCCGUAACUUCGGGAGAAGGCACGCUGAUACGUAGGUGAAGUCCCUCGCGGAUGGAGCUGAAAUCAGUCGAAGAUACCAGCUGGCUGCAACUGUUUAUUAAAAACACAGCACUGUGCAAACACGAAAGUGGACGUAUACGGUGUGACGCCUGCCCGGUGCCGGAAGGUUAAUUGAUGGGGUCAGCGCAAGCGAAGCUCUUGAUCGAAGCCCCGGUAAACGGCGGCCGUAACUAUAACGGUCCUAAGGUAGCGAAAUUCCUUGUCGGGUAAGUUCCGACCUGCACGAAUGGCGUAAUGAUGGCCAGGCUGUCUCCACCCGAGACUCAGUGAAAUUGAACUCGCUGUGAAGAUGCAGUGUACCCGCGGCAAGACGGAAAGACCCCGUGAACCUUUACUAUAGCUUGACACUGAACAUUGAGCCUUGAUGUGUAGGAUAGGUGGGAGGCUUUGAAGUGUGGACGCCAGUCUGCAUGGAGCCGACCUUGAAAUACCACCCUUUAAUGUUUGAUGUUCUAACGUUGACCCGUAAUCCGGGUUGCGGACAGUGUCUGGUGGGUAGUUUGACUGGGGCGGUCUCCUCCUAAAGAGUAACGGAGGAGCACGAAGGUUGGCUAAUCCUGGUCGGACAUCAGGAGGUUAGUGCAAUGGCAUAAGCCAGCUUGACUGCGAGCGUGACGGCGCGAGCAGGUGCGAAAGCAGGUCAUAGUGAUCCGGUGGUUCUGAAUGGAAGGGCCAUCGCUCAACGGAUAAAAGGUACUCCGGGGAUAACAGGCUGAUACCGCCCAAGAGUUCAUAUCGACGGCGGUGUUUGGCACCUCGAUGUCGGCUCAUCACAUCCUGGGGCUGAAGUAGGUCCCAAGGGUAUGGCUGUUCGCCAUUUAAAGUGGUACGCGAGCUGGGUUUAGAACGUCGUGAGACAGUUCGGUCCCUAUCUGCCGUGGGCGCUGGAGAAUUGAGGGGGGCUGCUCCUAGUACGAGAGGACCGGAGUGGACGCAUCACUGGUGUUCGGGUUGUCAUGCCAAUGGCACUGCCCGGUAGCUAAAUGCGGAAGAGAUAAGUGCUGAAAGCAUCUAAGCACGAAACUUGCCCCGAGAUGAGUUCUCCCUGACUCCUUGAGAGUCCUGAAGGAACGUUGAAGACGACGACGUUGAUAGGCCGGGUGUGUAAGCGCAGCGAUGCGUUGAGCUAACCGGUACUAAUGAACCGUGAGGCUUAACCUU